UACGUAGGGGGCAAGCGUUGUCCGGAAUCAUUGGGCGUAAAGCGCGUGUAGGCGGCCCGAUAAGUCCGCUGUGAAAGUCCAGGGCUCAACCCUGGAAUGCCGGUGGAUACUGUCGGGCUCGAGUCCGGAAGAGGCGAGUGGAAUUCCUGGUGUAGCGGUGAAAUGCGCAGAUAUCAGGAGGAACACCGAUGGCGAAGGCAGCUCGCUGGGACGGUACUGACGCUGAGGCGCGAAGGCGUGGGGAGCGAACAGG
rnacentral:rRNA from 1 species